UUUCGUGAAAUUUCAAAGUUU
rnacentral:piRNA from 1 species